AACGAACGCUGGCGGCAUGCCUAACACAUGCAAGUCGAACGAGACCUUCGAGUCUAGUGGCGCACGGGUGCGUAACGCGUGGGAACCUGCCCUUAGGUUCGGAAUAACUCCCCGAAAGGGGUGCUAAUACCGGAUAAUGUCUUCGGACCAAAGAUUUAUCGCCUUUGGAUGGGCCCGCGUUGGAUUAGCUAGUUGGUAGGGUAAAAGCCUACCAAGGCGACGAUCCAUAGCUGGUCUGAGAGGAUGAUCAGCCACACUGGGACUGAGACACGGCCCAGACUCCUACGGGAGGCAGCGGUGGGGAAUAUUGGACAAUGGGCGAAAGCCUGAUCCAGCAAUGCCGCGUGAGUGAUGAAGGCCUUAGGGUUGUAAAGCUCUUUUACCCGGGAUGAUAAUGACAGUACCGGGAGAAUAAGCUCCGGCUAACUCCGUG
rnacentral:rRNA from 1 species